rnacentral:rRNA from 1 species
GUGCAGCAGGCGCGAAACCUCCGCAAUACACGAAAGUGUGACGGGGCCAUCCCGAGUGCCGUCCGCUGAGGACGGCUUUUCCCAGUGUACAUAGCUGGGGGAAUAAGGAGAGGGCAAGCCUGGUGUCAGCCGCCGCGGUAAUACCAGCUCUCCGAGUGGUGGGGACGCUUAUUGGGCCUAAAGCAUCCGUAGCCGGCUGGGCAAGUCCUCCGUUAAAUCCAACGAUUCAAUCGUUGGGCUGCGGGGGAUACUGUCCAGCUCAGGGGCGGGAGAGGCCGACGGUAUUCCCGGGGUAGGGGUGAAAUCCUAUAAUCCCGGGAGGACCACCAGUGGCGAAGGCUGUCGGCUAGAACGCGCCCGACGGUGAGGGGAUGAAAGCUGGGGGAGCGAACCGGAUUAGAUACCCCGGGUAGU